rnacentral:pre_miRNA from 1 species
GGUACUUAUUGCAGCUGCUGGCCACUGCACAAGAUUAGACUCAAGACUCUUGUGCGUGUGACAGCGGCUAUUGUAAGAGACCAG